rfam:Myotis brandtii contig152247, whole genome shotgun sequence.
ACACCCUGCCCCUCUGCUCCUGCUCAGCUGGAACAGGGGCGUCUGGCGGGACAUACAGCGGUCUUCCCUUGUGGUUUAGGAGGGCGUCCUGAGUAUAGGGCUGGCUCUUAAAGGCACAAGAGGACAAG